rnacentral:rRNA from 1 species
UGCGUAGGCGGUUGAUUAAGUUGGAUGUGAAAUACCCGGGCUUAACUUGGGGGUGCAUUCAAAACUGGUUAACUAGAGUACAGGAGAGGGAAGCGGAAUUCCUAGUGUAGCGGUGAAAUGCGUAGAUAUUAGGAAGAACACCAGUGGCGAAGGCGGCUUACUGGGCUUUAACUGACGCUGAGGCUCGAAAGCGUGGGUAGCAAACA